rnacentral:misc_RNA from 1 species
GAAAUGCGAUAAGUAAUGUGAAUUGCAGAAUUCCGUGAAUCAUCGAAUCUUUGAACGCACAUUGCGCCCUCUGGUAUUCCGGGGGGCAUGCCUGUCCGAGCGUCAUUGCGAACCCCUCAAGCACGGCUUGUGUGAUGGGCCCUCCCGCGUCUUGGUCGUCAAGACGGACCCGAAAUGCAGUGGCGGCUUCGCGGUUAUCCGAUCAGCCAGAGCGUAUGGGGACUUUCUCUCUGUCACACGCCCGCGGCGCGGACCGACGCCUGUCGACCUUCAUUCAUCGUUUUCUCGGUUGACCUCGGAUCAGGUAGGGAUACCCGCUGAACUUAAGC